rnacentral:rRNA from 1 species
UAACCUGCCCAAGAGACUGGGAAUAACACCUGGAAACAGAUGCUAAUACCGGAUAACAACACUAGACGCAUGUCUAGAGUUUAAAAGAUGGUUCUGCUAUCACUCUUGGAUGGACCUGCGGUGCAUUAGCUAGUUGGUAAGGUAACGGCUUACCAAGGCAAUGAUGCAUAGCCGAGUUGAGAGACUGAUCGGCCACAUUGGGACUGAGACACGGCCCAAACUCCUACGGAAGGCAGCAG